rnacentral:rRNA from 1 species
UACGUAGGGUGCAAGCGUUGUCCGGAAUUAUUGGGCGUAAAGAGCUUGUAGGCGGUUUGUCGCGUCUGCUGUGAAAUUUCGGGGCUCAACCCCGAACUUGCAGUGGGUACGGGCAGACUAGAGUGUGGAGGGGAGACUGGAAUUCCUGGUGUAGCGGUGAAAUGCGCAGAUAUCAGGAGGAACACCGAUGGCGAAGGCAGGUCUCUGGGCCACUACUGACUGAGAAGCGAAAGCUGGGAGCAACAG